rnacentral:rRNA from 1 species
AUUGAACGCUGGCGGCAUGCCUUACACAUGCAAGUCGAACGGUAACAGGUCUUCGGAUGCUGACGAGUGGCGAACGGGUGAGUAAUACAUCGGAACGUGCCCGAUCGUGGGGGAUAACGAGGCGAAAGCUUUGCUAAUACCGCAUACGAUCUACGGAUGAAAGCGGGGGAUCUUCGGACCUCGCGCGGACGGAGCGGCCGAUGGCAGAUUAGGUAGUUGGUGGGAUAAAAGCUUACCAAGCCGACGAUCUGUAGCUGGUCUGAGAGGAUGAUCAGCCACACUGGGACUGAGACACGGCCCAGACUCCUACGGGAGGCAGCAGUGGGGAAUGUUGGACAAUGGGCGAAAGCCUGAUCCAGCCAUGCCGCGUGCAGGAUGAAGGCCUUCGGGUUGUAAACUGCUUUUGUACGGAACGAAAAGCCUCUUUCUAAUAAAGAGGGGUCAUGACGGUACCGGAAGAAUAAGCACCGGCUAACUACGUG